AUUUAACUGACGAGUCCCAAAUAAGAUGAAACGCACGUCUUUGAU
rfam:Schistosoma margrebowiei strain Zambia genome assembly, scaffold: SMRZ_scaffold0000099